GAAGUAAAAGUCGUAACAAGGUCUCCGUAGGUGAACCUGCGGAGGGAUCAUUACUGAGUGAGGGCUCACGCCCGACCUCCAACCCUUUGUGAACACAUCUUGUUGCUUCGGGGGCGACCCUGCCGGCACUACGUCGCCGGGCGCCCCCGAAGGUCUCCAAACACUGCAUCUUUGCGUCGGAGUUUAAACAAAUUAAACAAAACUUUCAACAACGGAUCUCUUGGUUCUGGCAUCGAUGAAGAACGCAGCGAAAUGCGAUAAGUAAUGUGAAUUGCAGAAUUCAGUGAAUCAUCGAAUCUUUGAACGCACAUUGCGCCCUUUGGUAUUCCGAAGGGCAUGCCUGUUCGAGCGUCAUUUCACCACUCAAGCCUGGCUUGGUAUUGGGCGUCGCGGCUCCGCGCGCCUUAAAGUCUCCGGCUGAGCCAUUCGUCUCUAAGCGUUGUGGAUUUUCUAAUUCGCUUCGGAGUGCGGGUGGCCGCGGCCGUUAAAUCUUUACUUAAGGUUGACCUCGGAUCAGGUAGGGAUACCCGCUGAACUUAAGCAUAU
rnacentral:rRNA from 1 species